rnacentral:lncRNA from 1 species
GGAGUCACAGCGUGGGGGGUCUCGAGAGAAAAGAAGCGAACCAUUUUUUUUGCAACCAGUGGCAUUGGUGGGUAAUUACCCAUCAAUUCCACGAGGAGGUUCAUAUUGGGUGGUUUUGGAGCGGCAAAAGAGGUGCUUCAAAACUUCACCCCCAUUUGCAUUACAGUUCCAUGGAGUUGGCAGCUCCAUGGAGUUUUGAAGCUGAGAUGUUUGGCUGGAAAAUUGGCUAGAGUUGCUGGAGUUCAGCUCCAGAGUCAUGCCAUUGCCAAACACGCCCUUAAGCUCCUAGAUGCCUAUAAAGGGAUGGCUUCAGCAACUGUAUUUAAAGGAUAUUCUUGUUAUCUUUGGCAGGACCUUUGGGUAGGAAGAGUCCAUUGUCAAUCAUUUCCUAAACUUUUCUCCUUUGCUAAAGCUAAACAUAUCUCCAUCCAC